GAUGAACGCUAGCGGCAGGCUUAAUACAUGCAAGUCGAGGGGCAGCAGGACUGUAGCAAUACAGUUGCUGGCGACCGGCAAACGGGUGCGGAACACGUACGCAAUCUACCCGAAACUGGGGCAUAGCCCGGGGAAACCCGGAUUAAUACCCCGUAACACUUUGAAGUGGCAUCACUUUAUAGUUAUAGCUCCGGCGGUUUUGGAUGAGCGUGCGGCUGAUUAGGUAGUUGGCGGGGUAACGGCCCACCAAGCCUACGAUCAGUAACUGGUGUGAGAGCACGACCAGUCACACGGGCACUGAGACACGGGCCCGACUCCUACGGGAGGCAGCAGUAAGGAAUAUUGGUCAAUGGACGCAAGUCUGAACCAGCCAUGCCGCGUGGAGGAUGAAGGCCCUCUGGGUUGUAAACUUCUUUUAUAGGGGACGAAACCUCUUUUUCUUGAGAGACUGACGGUACCCUAGGAAUAAGCACCGGCUAACUCCGUGCCAGCAGCCGCGGUAAAAC
rnacentral:rRNA from 1 species